UUUUGAAGGGUUUCUGACUUCUUGAAUUUUUCUCUCUCUAGUCUCUUCGAGAGAUUUCUUCUUCUUCUUCUAUUUUGGUUUUGAUUCUUGUGGUUUUUCAUGAGAUCAUUGUAAUUUUAGAAGUAUCUUGUGAAACUCUUUGUGCUACAGUAACUUUGGCAGGUUGUUUGGCCUUUGGUGUGUCGGGUUUGGUCCAGUAGUUUGAGUUUCUUACUAUUUUGGUGAUUGCGGGUUGAUUUGUGCGAGAUCCUUUGGAUCGAUGAUCAAACCCCGUGUCUGAGUGUGGUUCCAAAGUUGUCAUUGUCUCUUGGAGGGUUAUUUUUUCACACAGUGGACGGGCUUACCUCCGAGCCCCCCAGAUUAGGCAUUUUGGCCGAACUGGGUGAACGAGAUUUUGUGUUCUUUACUAUUUUCGUUGAAUGAUUGGCCAUAUUUCACACGAGCACACAAAAGAACGUAGAAAUUCCUAACAGAUUUG
rnacentral:lncRNA from 1 species